UCGUUUAAUUUUAAAAAUAGUGAACACAACUAAAAUAAUUUGGAGCAAUCCUAAUCAAUAUAAUUUUCUGAAGGACAAGGCCACUCUUUCUUGAACAUUAGAACUUUGUACCCAUAUCACCACCCAUCAUGAUUGUCUCACCAACAACCUGCUUUCUGUUGACCAACUCCUCUUCCUUAUCCUUCCCUAAUUCUUAUUUUUCCCACACAUGAUU
rnacentral:lncRNA from 1 species